rnacentral:rRNA from 1 species
CGUCUAUAUACGUAUAGCAUAUCAAUAAGCGGAGGAAAAGAAGCUAACUAGGAUUCCCUCAGUAACGGCGAGUGAAGCGGGAAGAGCUCAAAUUUGAAAUCUUCAAGGUUCUACCUUGACGAAUUGUAGUUUAAAGAAGUGUUUUCUGUUGGAGUUUUGGUAAAAGUUCUUUGGAAUAGGACAUCGUAGAGGGUGAGAAUCCCGUAUUUGACCAUUAUUUCCAGCUUUGUGAUACACUUUCAAAGAGUCGGAUUGUUUGGGAAUGCAGUCCAAAAUGGGUGGUAAAUUUCAUCUAAAGCUAAAUACUGGCGAGAGACCGAUAGCGAACAAGUACCGUGAGGGAAAGAUGAAAAGAACUUUGAAAAGAGAGUUAAACAGUACGUGAAAUUGUCAAAAGGGAAGCGUUUGACACCAGUGUUGUUUUCUCGAAAAUCAAUUAAAAAUGGCAGGAUUUUGUGUUGUAUUGACUUUAUCAGCUUUCUGCUCUUUUUUCCUGUCUUUUUUAAUGCACUUUUCGUUUAACAAGUCAACAUCAAUUUCUUUUGUUGUAAAAGGGUCAUUGGAAGGUGGCUUUCUUUUCGGAGAAAGUGUUUAUAGCCUUUGACUUCUGCAAUCGGAGAGAUUGAGGUCUGCAGCGUAGAUCCUUCGGGGUUAGAUGCAUUUGUGCUAAGUUAUAGCCUUUCAUAGACAACUUGUUGACUAUGAUCAGUCAUGUAACUUACUCGCUUAUGUCAUUUUACCUACGCUUAGGAUGUUGACGAUCAGCUGAGCGCG